GAGCGCACGCCGCCUUCGGGGUGUUCCGGCGUCGUAGUCGUGCACUUCUCCCCUAGUAGAACGUCGCGACCCGUUGCGUGUCGGUCUACGGCCCGAGCGGUAGCCUGUCCCGUUUGCGCCUCGCGGCGCGCGUGGACAGACCCUCGGUCGCCCGGCCGGCUGCGCGACGGUACUCGCACGGUAUCGGGCCGCACCGUUUUUUAACGCGCGUGCGUCAGGCCCGUCGCAAGCUAGGUCAGUUCAUACCCGGAGGUGUUACGGACCCGGUGCCGUCCCCGGGCCUGGCCAGCUGUUGGCCGACGGUGUCCUCUGACUGUGUCCAUUCUCUAUAUACAUUACCGGUCGGCGACGCUAUUGCUUUGGGUACUCUCAGGACCCGUCUUGAAACACGGACCAAGGAGUCUAACAUGUGCGCGAGUCAUUGGGAACGAUAUUUGAAACCUAAAGGCGGAAUGAAAGUGAAGGU
rnacentral:rRNA from 1 species